rnacentral:lncRNA from 1 species
CUCCCUUACCUCGAUUCGGCCACGGCGGAGGAGGAGAACCACCGUGACCGAGAAGGAGGCGCGAGAGACCCAGGUACGAUCCUCUCUUUUUCCCCCCUCUUUUUCUUUCUUUAUUUUCUUUUAUUCUCUUUUUCACCUCCUCCCUCUGUGGUGGCGCCACCACCUCCUCACCGGAGGGAGGUGGGACUCGGCCAGGGCCUGACGGCCCUGCGGCCGCGUCGGGGUACCCUAGGGCAACCGCGGCUGAGCCUGCAGUGCCCUGGGUGCCUGGGCUCGGCCCGGAUUGGCCACUGGGCUUGGGCCGGGCCUGGUUGGGCUCGCAUUCUCCGUUCUUUUCUCCUUAUGUUUCACCAUUGAAACAGAGGGGAGAAGCCAUUUAGGCUAAAAGGACUCUGGUUUGCUACAAAGCUGGUUUCUGUAUCUAAGAUUUAGGACCCAAGAAGGGCUUUAAAUUGAACAACAAAGAAAAUGACAAAUUUGGCUCUACCGAUAUAUGCUAGAUGAGGCUAUACAACUAUGAGGAACUUUGACACUGACGAAUAAAAAAUGCUCAUGUUAAGAUCUUUCACAUUUAUAACGCCAUAAUAUUUAGAUAUGAUAGUGGAACAGUUAGAGAAAACUAGAAUGUUAGAAGGAUGUCUGUUUCAUGUGAACAAAAACUUUUCAACCCAAUCUGGACAGGGCCAUCUGUAGCACAUUGAGCUGAUAUUUUUACGAGACAGCCCCAUUCUAGAAUGUUGUGCUGAUUGUGAUUUGUGAAUAGUUUUCAAUAAUUAAUGGCACUCACGAAUCAUAUAAAAAGAUAUAGCUGACUUUUCAAUCUUUGGCCGAAUUGGUUCAGAAAUCAACAAUAAUGUCACUCCUACAGUCUAUGGGAAUACCUCCUGAUAUCUGCUGCCAUAUGUGUGCAUGCAGGAUAUUAAGUGAACUGCCACUGUGUCAACCUUGUGCAUAGACUAGUUAUAGUUGAAUGACAAAUCACC